rnacentral:rRNA from 2 species
AAUAGCUCAAAUUUGAAAGCUGGCGUCUUCGACGUCCGCGUUGUAAUUUGUAGAGGAUGCUUCGGCGAAGACUCCUGCCUAAGUCCCCUGGAACGGGGCGUCAUAGAGGGUGAGAAUCCCGUAUGUGGCGGGCAGUCUAAGCCAUGUGAAGCUCCUUCGACGAGUCGAGUUGUUUGGGAAUGCAGCUCUAAAUGGGAGGUAAAUUUCUUCUAAAGCUAAAUAUUGGCCAGAGACCGAUAGCGCACAAGUAGAGUGAUCGAAAGAUGAAAAGCACUUUGGAAAGAGAGUUAAAAAGUACGUGAAAUUGUUGAAAGGGAAGCGCUUGCAACCAGACUCGCUCGUAGUUGCUCAGCCGGCCUCUUGGCCGGUGUACUCUUCUACGAUCGGGCCAGCAUCAGUUCGGGCGGCAGGAUAAAGGUGUCGGGAAUGUAGCACCCUUCGGGGUGUGUUAUAGCCCGGCGCGGAAUGCUGCCAGCCUGGACUGAGGAUCUCGCUUCGGCAAGGAUGCUGGCGUAAUGGUUGUAAGCGGCCCGUCUUGAAACACGGACCAAGGAGUCUAACAUCUAUGCGAGUGUUUGGGUGUCAAACCCAUGCGCGUAAUGAAAGUGAACGGAGGUGGGAACCCCUCACGGGGUGCACCAUCGACCGAUCCUGAUGUCUUCGGAUGGAUUUGAGUAAGAGCAUAGCUGUUGGGACCCGAAAGAUGGUGAACUAUGCCUGAAUAGGGUGAAGCCAGAGGAAACUCUGGUGGAGGCUCGCAGCGGUUCUGACGUGCAAAUCGAUCGUCAAAUUUGGGUAUAGGGGCGAAAGACUAAUCG